rnacentral:rRNA from 1 species
UACGUAGGGUGCAAGCGUUGUCCGGAAUUAUUGGGCGUAAAGAGCUCGUAGGCGGUUUGUCGCGUCUGCUGUGAAAACUCGGGGCUUAACUCCGGGCCUGCAGUGGGUACGGGCAGACUAGAGUGCGGUAGGGGAGACUGGAAUUCCUGGUGUAGCGGUGAAAUGCGCAGAUAUCAGGAAGAACACCAAUGGCGAAGGCAGCUCUCUGGGACGGUAUUGACGCUAAGGCGCGAAAGCGUGGGGAGCAAACAGG